rnacentral:rRNA from 1 species
UACGGGGGGUGCAAGCGUUGUUCGGAUUUAUUGGGCGUAAAGCGCGUGUAGGCGGUUUGUUAAGUCUGUUGUGAAAGCCCUGGGCUCAACCCGGGAAGUGCACUGGAUACUGGCAGACUUGAAUACGGGAGAGGAGAGUGGAAUUCCUGGUGUAGGAGUGAAAUCCGUAGAUAUCAGGAGGAACACCGGUGGCGAAGGCGGCUCUCUGGACCGAUAUUGACGCUGAGACGCGAAAGCGUGGGUAGCAAACAGG